UUAUCGCUCCCAAGAAAUAUGGUGGCCUUGGUUUUAGAGAUGCUCACUGUGUGAAUUUGGCUUUGUUAGGCAAGCUGGUCUGGCAAAUUCUUUAAGGAUAAAUUAUGGGUUACACUCAUGUCAAGAAAAUACAUAGAGCGUUGUUGUAGCUUGGAUUUUAAGAUUCCCACAAACGCUUCUAACUGUUGACAUAGUGUUGCUUUGGCGCUUAAUUUUUGAAGGAUGAUUUUUCUUGGUGUAUAGGCUCCCUUCAUCAAUCAGUUUGGCAUGAUUCUUGGAGUCUUCUUAGGUAUAUUGGAAAACUUCUCUCUUAUGUCCACAUUUCAGAUAUUCACAUUAACCUAGAAGAUAUUUGUUUUAAUUUUGUUUGGCAUUUGGAUUCGUUGACCACUCCUCUUUCCUUGGAUAUUAAAAAUUUCAUUCUUGGUAUGACUCCUCACAUUGGUGGUAACCCUGGAUGGUGGUGGUCUUCAUCCUCUACCAAAACCUACUCAACAAAAGAGGGAUAUAUUUGGCCCUUGCAAAGGAAAUACCAUUGGGAUACCCACAUCAAUUGAAACUGGUUGUGGCGCUCAAAAAUUCCAGAAAAAUUGAAGGUUCUUGUUUGGCUCUGCAUCCAGGAACUUGCCACAGUAGCUUUUCGAUUUCGGUGCGAGAUAGCAAUGCCGGAUCUCUACCCUCGCUGCAAUGGUCAAAAGAGUCAGCUUAUCAUUGCUUUUUUGAGUGUUAUCAGCUUGAAACGUGUGGUCCAUUCUGGGUGUGUCAUUGUUCGGCAUCAGCAGCUCUAUGACUGGUUUAGUGAACCCCUUGGAUAUUUUCCAGCGUCGGAUGGUGCAAGCUGAUUUCACUUUUUUCGCAGGAGGCUUGCUCAGGAGCUGGAAAAUUUCAGCCACUCAAACCACCUCCUUCAUGAACCUGACCUGAUGAUAGUGUGGUUUGGUCUCCUCCUCCAAAAGAUAUGGUCAAAAUAAAUUGUGAUGCCAACAUUUACAUGAGUACAAUCUUGAGGGAUUUGGUUGUCUUCUUUGGGAUAAAAAUAGAACUUGGAGAAAAGGUUGCUCAGGAUGUCUCCCUAAUUGGAAAAUUUUCAGGUGUGAACUUUUUGCUCUUUGGAGGGAUUUGGUUCUUACUUGGGAAUGUGGGUUAAAAUCAUUCAUAUAAUCAAAACUGACUCGAUGAAAGUUUAUCUAAGACUUCAAUUUGAUUCUGAUCGGCCAACUAACACUGAUGGUGAUCUAGUGUUGAAAAUUAAAGAGUUGGCUUUGAAUUGGAAAGUUCAUUUUAGUCUAGUGAGAAGGGAAGCAAAUUCAACUGCUGACCUGCUAGCUAAGAGAGGGGCUUGGGAUGGGAUUGAUUUGGUGGAGCGGCUGGAGUCUUGGCAACAGUUGCGAGACGUUUUCAGUAGGGACUUAGUAUUGCCAACUUGAUUCUUGUUUUGUAUUUUCUUUUAGCCCCUAUGUUCUAAUUUUUUUCAAAGACAC